rnacentral:rRNA from 1 species
AGAGUUUGAUCCUGGCUCAGGAUGAACGCUAGCUACAGGCUUAACACAUGCAAGUCGAGGGGCAGCAUCAUCAAAGCUUGCUUUGAUGGAUGGCGACCGGCGCACGGGUGAGUAACACGUAUCCAACCUGCCGACAACACUGGGAUAGCCUUUCGAAAGAAAGAUUAAUACCGGAUGGCAUAGUUUUCCCGCAUGGGAUAAUUAUUAAAGAAUUUCGGUUGUCGAUGGGGAUGCGUUCCAUUAGGCAGUUGGCGGGGUAACGGCCCACCAAACCAACGAUGGAUAGGGGUUCUGAGAGGAAGGUCCCCCACAUUGGAACUGAGACACGGUCCAAACUCCUACGGGAGGCAGCAGUGAGGAAUAUUGGUCAAUGGACGAGAGUCUGAACCAGCCAAGUAGCGUGAAGGAUGACUGCCCUAUGGGUUGUAAACUUCUUUUAUACGGGAAUAAAGUGAGCCACGUGUGGCUUUUUGUAUGUACCGUAUGAAUAAGGAUCGGCUAACUCCGUGCCAGCAGCCGCGGUAAUACGGAGGAUCCGAGCGUUAUCCGGAUUUAUUGGGUUUAAAGGGAGCGUAGGCGGGUUGUUAAGUCAGUUGUGAAAGUUUGCGGCUCAACCGUAAAAUUGCAGUUGAUACUGGCGACCUUGAGUGCAACAGAGGUAGGCGGAAUUCGUGGUGUAGCGGUGAAAUGCUUAGAUAUCACGAAGAACUCCGAUUGCGAAGGCAGCUUACUGGAUUGUAACUGACGCUGAUGCUCGAAAGUGUGGGUAUCAAACAGGAUUAGAUACCCUGGUAGUCCACACAGUAAACGAUGAAUACUCGCUGUUGGCGAUAUACAGUCAGCGGCCAAGCGAAAGCAUUAAGUAUUCCACCUGGGGAGUACGCCGGCAACGGUGAAACUCAAAGGAAUUGACGGGGGCCCGCACAAGCGGAGGAACAUGUGGUUUAAUUCGAUGAUACGCGAGGAACCUUACCCGGGCUUAAAUUGCAACUGACGGAAUCGGAAACGGUUCUUUCUUCGGACAGUUGUGAAGGUGCUGCAUGGUUGUCGUCAGCUCGUGCCGUGAGGUGUCGGCUUAAGUGCCAUAACGAGCGCAACCCUUAUCGAUAGUUACUAGCAGGUCAUGCUGAGGACUCUAUUGAGACUGCCGUCGUAAGACGUGAGGAAGGUGGGGAUGACGUCAAAUCAGCACGGCCCUUACGUCCGGGGCUACACACGUGUUACAAUGGGGGGUACAGAAGGCAGCUACACGGCGACGUGGUGCUAAUCCCAAAAGCCUCUCUCAGUUCGGAUUGGAGUCUGCAACCCGACUCCAUGAAGCUGGAUUCGCUAGUAAUCGCGCAUCAGCCACGGCGCGGUGAAUACGUUCCCGGGCCUUGCACACACCGCUCGUCA